CCCCUCUCAGGAUCACACCUGGAGAGUUUCCAGUACUCUACUGGUCUUGGCUACAGGAGGGAGAGUCAAGCAGAGGCAUACCUAUUCCAUUCCUAGCUCAGGAAGUGGCUAGCAAAUGGAAGGCAAUCUGCUACAAGU